rnacentral:rRNA from 1 species
UACGGGGGGGGCAAGCGUUGUUCGGAAUUACUGGGCGUAAAGGGCUCGUAGGCGGCCAACUAAGUCGGAUGUGAAAUCCCCAGGCUUAACCUGGGAACUGCAUCUGAUACUGGAUGGCUUGAAUCCGGGAGAGGGAUGCAGAAUUCCAGGUGUAGCGGUGAAAUGCGUAGAUAUCUGGAGGAAUACCGGUGGCGAAGGCGGCAUCCUGGACGGUGACUGACGCUGAGGCGCGAAAGCGUGGGGAGCAAACGGG